rnacentral:rRNA from 1 species
AUUGAACGCUGGCGGCAGGCUUAACACAUGCAAGUCGAGCGGAGCGAGGGUGCUUGCACCUUAGCUUAGCGGCGGACGGGUGAGUAAUGCUUAGGAAUCUGCCUAUUAGUGGGGGACAACAUUCCGAAAGGGAUGCUAAUACCGCAUACGCCCUACGGGGGCAAGCAGGGGAUCUUCGGACCUUGCGCUAAUAGAUGAGCCUACGUCGGAGUAGCUAGUUGGUGGGGUAAAGGCCUACCAAGGCGACGAUCUGUAGCGGGUCUGAGAGGAUGAUCCGCCACACUGGGACUGAGACACGGCCCAGACUCCUACGGGAGGCAGCAGUGGGGAAUAUUGGACAAUGGGCGGAAGCCUGAUCCAGCCAUGCCGCGUGUGUGAAGAAGGCCUUUUGGUUGUAAAGCACUUUAAGCGAGGAGGAGGCUCUUAAGGUUAAUACCCUUGAUGAGUGGACGUUACUCGCAGAAUAAGCACCGGCUAACUCUGUGCCAGCCGCCGCCGUAAAAC